UGUAGGUUCCACUAAAUAUCAGUGAAUUGCUGGUUAACUGGUUUCCACUGAAGAGAUGGUUCAUUGAAGAAAGCUGGUUACAAGGAUCCUGUUUUUGAAAAGAGUUGUUGAUUAAUUCAAAGUGUUUUUUUCUACAGUAUUAAAUCCCUUCACCUCCACUCUGUUGGCAUAGACGCAGAAUCCCAGAGGCUCCAAACCUGCACAAAUAAAACCAGAGCGAUUUGCAUGCCGGAGAAAUCACGAGAAGAAAGAGGGAGAAUAUGUUUUUGUGACUGGGAUCUGGCUCAUUACCAGCAGAGGAGAAUCUGGUGCUCGGAGGCCCCUCACAGCUGGCAGCAUCUCUGAAAGGUGUGACUCCGCGGGGAGAGGCCAGGAAAACAAAUCGGACCGUUCUGACGAAGGCUCCGGUUCCCCUUCGUCCUGGAUCAUCGACCCGAGUCCGUCGGCCAACAUGUUCCGAUCCUCAUGCUCCCCCUGCCUGUCCGACCACAGU